AGAAAGAUCUCCUAGAGGAGGGCAGGGCAACCCACUCUAGUAUUCUUGCCUGGAGAAUCUCCAUGGACAGAGGAGCCUGGCGGACUACAGUCCAUGGGAUUGCAGAGUCGGACAUGACUGAAAUGACUGAGCUUGCACCCAAGAGACAACCACUCUUCCUAAUUUAUUUCUUCCAAGCCACCUUCUCAGUGUUUAAUCCAGGCCCCGGAAUUUGUGUGUGUCCCACUGGACACAUUCACAGAAAAGGAGAGCAACUCGAGAGGAUUUAUGAAGAGAGUGGGGGCCCUGGGAACACCCCUCCCCCAGGCUGACUCCUACCUUCCCCAUGUGAAAGAGACUUUCCUCUGGACUGCUCCCCGAAAGGGUUACAUUCGGGAUGUGGGACUCAUGGGUCAGCGAAGUGAUCCCAAAGGAAGGUUGUCCACAAGGUUGGGGCUUUUUUUCCAGUGUCUAUAGCAUCAAAUACGUGAGGGAGCUUCAACAUAAGAGGCUGGGUCUGUCUGAAAUGUCCAGGCCUUCCUGAGGGAGCCAGCACCUGACCUCCUGUGCCCGGAUGCAACCAGCACUUUAUACACUCAAGCCCCAGGCAGCGAGCCGCGUCAGCCCCAGACUGUGGCACGGACCACCGUUUCCCGUUUGCCCACCCUGGCCUCACUGUCUCUUGUUCUGUAUUCUGGGGAUCAUUUUCUGGCUUCUCACCCACUGUCCCCUGAGGAUCCUUGCUUCCUUAUUCUCUGACCACCUUCUGUCUCUCAGGGCCUCUUUCAAGGGCGCUCUUCCCCAGCUCCAGUGUCAGGCCUGAUGGUAUCUUGCCCUUAGCAAGUCCACAUGGUCAAAACUAUAAAUGUAGGGACAUUUAUUGGGGGAGGGCAGAGAGGAUAGGGGCCACUGGGGCAAGUUGCCUGAGAGGAGAGAGAUUACAGGAUCGACCCCGUCUUCCUGAGAUGGCAACAAGAGAUUUGGAUGAAAGGCCCAGGGUCUGCUGGAGGCAGUAUUCCCAACCAGAUGUCAGUGGUGGCUGCAGCGAUGAAGUUCUCCCAUGGCUCUGGGGUUCUCAGGCGGGCUCCUUAAGGGGCUGAGGCUGAUGGGAUGGAAGGCUUUAUGGGGCUGCCUGAAGUAAGCCCCAGCAUGACCACUGUGGUGGCCAGCAGGGCGCGUUGGUGGCUACUUCUGGCUCUGAUGUGGUAGAUUAGUGGGUGCUGGGUAUCUAGGGCCCCACCCACCAGUGGUAG
ensembl:lncRNA